UCUUUUUUAAGUGCAGGACCAAAUUCGCAAUUUACUCUUUCCAGGAGACCGGAAAAGGACUCUCUGUUGGUUGACAAAAGAGGCGAUGUUGGUGUAUGUGAUCAUGAAAAAAAGAGAGAUUGAAUCUUAAUCGAUGCUUACCAAUGGAGAUGUUCUCUCAAGUAAGGAUCACUUGGACUCAGUGCAUCAGGGUCGGUCAAGAUCUUCAAGUAAAAAUAGAUCAGUACUGUUAAUAGAUUUAGAUUUAAGAUGGAAUGUUGUGUGAAAUUAAUCAAACUGAAGAUGGAAUGUUGCUUGUGGAUAACAUUUUUAUGUGCACAUACACAUACACAUGAUCGUGCUCUAAACAAGCCUUCAUUAGGUCUUAACUGGUCGUUUGUUCGUCUCUAAUAAAGACUACAAACAUCAAUGCAAAGGAGAAACUUGUGAUCGAGCUGGACUUUCUUUAUUAAUAUAUUUUUCUGUGUGUGUGUGUGUGUGUUUUAGUAUUUCCAAGUGGGUUUUAUAAUUGUAUUGUUAUAUUUUUUUGUGUGUGUUUUAUUAGUAACAAUGGUUUGGUUAUUUAAUGAAAAGUUAAACUUUGAUA
rnacentral:lncRNA from 1 species